UAGUUCUGGUCUGCCUGUUGCUGGCCCUCUACCCACUUUACUGCCCCGUUUUCUUGCCAGGGUCCUGCAUUCCUGUUCUCCCAAUCUCCAACCUUGCUUGCUUUUGGUUGUUCCUUCAAAACAAUUGCCAAGAGGGAUAUCAAGGGGACCCCCACCCACCCCGAGGACGAAAAGGGGUAUGAGGGAAGAACUGUGGGAGGGGGUGACUGGGAGAGUAGGAUGUAAAGCAAAUAAGUAUAAAUAAAUAAAUAGUAAAAAUAAAGAUAAAAAACCCAACAAAAAACAAACACCAACUCCCCCCCACCCCCCCAAACAAAACAAAACAAAACAAAACAAAACAAAACCUAAAACCAAUUGCUAAAGGCUCUUGCUAAGCAGUUGAUUAGUUUUACUUUCCCACUUAAACCCCUGCUGGCCAACUCUGAUGUCAGAGGCUAGGAGACAAAGGAGCUCAUUUCAGGAAAUAAGGAGUUCAGGGGAACUGGAAGCUACAUGCACAUCCAAGGAAGCACAUGGUUACUUAUCUUGAUGACUGCUGUUCAUCAGAAUGGAACUAACACGGCUAGAUAACUUCACAGUCAUAUUUAUGGGCUGUGAAUAUACCCUAUGCCCUACAGGAAGAAGUUGGUGUGUCCUGGACAUUGGCAACAGAAGCCUUCUGUAACCUGCCCCAAGCUCUACUGCAUGGUUCUAUUCUUCAGUCACAACAGUGAAAUCCAUCAAGGUCCUCUGUCACAAUGGAAAGGGCGUGACCGACAAUAUCUCACAUGCAAACCCAGCAAGUGAUCCUGAGGAUCGUCCCUAGGGUUAAGCCUAGUGGGUCACACAACUGAGGCCUCGACAAAGGCUGACUCUCCUCCACUAGUCAGUCCUCUGAUCUCUGCAGUGUAACUGCUGUGGUCUUGCCUGGCUUCCUCAAGAUCCUGAAGGCUCCAAGGAGGUAGACUUUCAUUGCUGCUCCUCUCAGUCAACCACAGUACAAGUACCAUGAUUGUUAUGAAGAAGAACUGCUGAGUUUUCCACUGAUACCUGAUGGCAACAGCAUUGCCGCCGCCUUCCACUGCUGUCAGUAACUACAUCUACUUCUACCAGAAUUCUUACAAGUAAAACUACCCAUUAAUUUGGAUUUAAUUAGGAUCACCAAUGAAACCACAGAACUACACAGAAUGGAACUAACAUUCUCCAUGUAUGAAGAGCUUUUCAUAAAGCGAUGUCAAGCCUUAACAGAAACCAAGCUUUUCUUUGAGAGGAAUGGAUUACCAAUCAGCCGCGUCCUACCCAGUUGCUGACUCCGAAGCUGCAGGCACGUAACAAGAAGAGACAGAGCCUCUCCAGCAAUCAGCGCAUCUUUGGUGGACACAGACUGCUGCCGGACACAGAUCCCGGCAUGCAGGGCCGCUGGCUCUCCUUCACUGCUCGAGCUGCAAUUGCUUCCUGAAGGCAGGGAACACAAGCUGAGUAUGGCCCUGUCCUAGAGUUUGCAGUGUUUAGUGUAAGACCCACAGUCCCCGUGCAGUGGUAAAUACUGAAGGAAGCACUGAUAGGGAGCAGGAGAUGGAGUCUCCCUGCUUGAUGCACACCAGCUGCUUUGCCCUAAACCAUCUGCAGGGAUUCAAAUGUUUUCACAUGACAAAACUCCUUUCAGGUGGGAGAAGGCCUUGUACCUUACAAGGUGAUCUCGAUGGACUACAUGGACACGAGAAUCCUAAAAACAGAAUUUACUUAACAUUUCUGCAUAUUCUGGCACACACCCUCAAUCCCAGUAAGGAAUCCCAGAAGCAGGGUAGACAGAUCUGAGUGUGAGGUCACCCUGGUCUAUACAUCAAGCAGUUGGCCAGCCAAGGCUACAGUGAGACCUAUCUCAAAAGACCCAAACCAAGCCGAACUAGAAAAACCUUUUACUAUUGAUGUAUUUAUAAACAUAGAGAGCAGGAAGAACUAACAAAACCAACAAAUAGAGCUACAUGAAAAGGCCCAACAGGGAAUAAGUGGACGGUCCAGAAGGGUAGCUCAGUUGGUAAAAUGCUUAGCAUGCUAACUAUAAGACCCUGAACUCAGUACCCAGAACCCAUGGGUGCAGCGGGGCAUAGUAGCACACCUACCAAUCCAGCACUGGGGAGGGGGAGACAGGGAGCACAUUCCCAGGGCCUACUGAAUCAGCCUAGCCUAAUGGGUGAUUUCUAUGUCAACGAGAGACCCUGUCUUAAAACAGCCGCUCUCACCCCAAACCAAAAGAGAACAAAAAUAUCUGAAGAACAAUAAUCUUAUAUCGAUCUCUCCUCUCUCUCUCUCUCUCUCUCUCUCUCUCUCUCUCUCUCUCUCUCUCUCUCCACUCUGGAGUUGGAACAAACCAAGAAAAAAAAACUGUUUACCAUGCUAGCCUUCUGGGAAAUUUAUGUUUCUGCUACAAAUUAUAGGUGUUGGAACACUUUUAUACUCAGCAAACCUAGUAUAAAAAUAAAUAAAGAUGUCAGGAUU